rnacentral:lncRNA from 1 species
GUGAUAGUCAAGGAAUUCGGAACUCUCAUUCUGUGAGUUAGUUAUCUUAAAGGCUGCUGUGGACAUUGGGUAAGUUUCGAACCCCUAAGAGUUCAAUUCUUAUGUUAGAACUGUUUAUGUUGCAUUGUAGUUGAUUGGGUUGUUUUGGUAAAUUGAGGAAUUGGAACUGAUUUUUAGGUGUUGGAUAUCGCAUGGUUGUUUUCACAUCAGAAUCGAAUCAGGUAUGUAACGAGAAAUUCAAAAAUCAGCGAACUAUGAAAGCUAAAAAAUAACACUGUCGACGCCACACGGUCGUAUGUCAGGCCGUGUGCAAUAAACUGUUGCCUGAUGGGCCUUAUACUAGACCGUGUGUGACACUGGUAUAGGCUAUUUGGGCUGUAUGGGUCUAAAAUUCAGAUUUUUUUCCUAGGGUCGUACACGUUGUCCCAAUUGACCAUGGGCCUUCCGUAGGGUCAAUAUGUGAUUAAAUAUACUAUAAAACAUGAAAUUUUGUCGUCUGUUAGUAUAAUUUUUACUACCUGCAAGUGUAUUUGGGAUGUCAUACAAUAAAUAAAAUUAAGAAUAAUG